rnacentral:rRNA from 1 species
CUAGCGGCAGGCUUAACACAUGCAAGUCGAGGGGCAGCAUGAAUGUAGCAAUACAUUUGAUGGCGACCGGCGCACGGGUGCGUAACGCGUAUGCAACCUACCUAUAACAGGGGGAUAAUCCGAAGAAAUUUGGUCUAAUACCCCCAUAAUAUCUGAGAAGGCAUCUUUUCAGGUUGAAAGCUCCGACGGUUAUAGAUGGGCAUGCGUUGUAUUAGGUAGUUGGUGAGGUAACGGCUCACCAUGGCGACGAUGUCUAGGGGAACUGAGAGGUUAAUCCCCCACACUGGUACUGAGACACGGACCAGACUCCUACGGGAGGCAGCAGUGAGGAAUAUUGGACAAUGGAUGGAAAUCUGAUCCAGCCAUGCCGCGUGCAGGAUGACGGCCCUAUGGGUCUUAAACUGCUUUUGUAUGGGAGCAAUAAGCUCUACGUGUAGAGUGAUGAGAGUACCAUACGAAUAAGCAUCGGCUAACUCCGUG